rnacentral:rRNA from 1 species
UACAGAGGUCUCAAGCGUUGUUCGGAUUCAUUGGGCGUAAAGGGUGCGUAGGCGGCGCGGUAAGUCGGGUGUGAAAAUCUCGGAGCUUAACUCCGAAACUGCAUUCGAUACUGCGGUGCUUGAGGACUGGAGAGGAGACUGGAAUUCAUGGUGUAGCAGUGAAAUGCGUAGAGAUCAUGAGGAAGACCAGUGGCGAAGGCGGGUCUCUGGACAGUUCCUGACACUGAGACACGAAGGCCAGGGGAGCAAACGGG